rnacentral:rRNA from 1 species
UUCCGGUUGAUCCUGCCGGACCCGACUGCUAUCAGAGUGAGAUUAAGCCAUGCGAGUUAACGUAGCAAUACGUGGCGCACGGCUCAGUAACACGUAGUCAACAUGCCCAGAGGACGUGGAUAACCUCGGGAAACUGAGUCUAAACCGCGAUAAGUGAGGAUUUCUGGAAUGGUUCCUGACUAAAAUCUAUAUGGCCUCUGGAUUGGACUGCGGCCGAUCAGGCUGUUGGUGAGGUAAUGGCCCACCAAACCUGUAACCGGUACGGGCUCUGAGAGGAGGAGCCCGGAGAUGGGCACUGAGACAAGGGCCCAGGCCCUAUGGGGCGCAGCAGGCGCGAAACCUCUGCAAUAGGCGAAAGCCUGACAGGGUUACUCUGAGUGACAUUCGCUAAGAAAGUCUUUUGGCACCUCUAAAAAGGGUGCAGAAUAAGGCGUGGGCAAGUCUGGUGUCAGCCGCCGCGGUAAUACCAGCACCCCGAGUGGUCGGGACGAUUAUUGGGCCUAAAGCAUCCGUAGCCGGUUCUGCAAGUCCCCCGUUAAAUCCAGCUGCUCAACAGAUGGGCCGCGGAGGAUACUACAGAGCUAGGAGGCAGGAGAGGCAAGCGGUACUCAGUGGGUAGGGGUAAAAUCCGUUGAUCCAUUGAAGACCACCAGUGGCGAAGGCGGCUUGCCAGAAUGCGCUCGACGGUGAGGGAUGAAAGCUGGGGGAGCAAACCGGAUUAGAUACCCGGGUAGUCCCAG